GGCGCCUGAGAAGUGGAAGGACCUGGCGUCCAGGACAGGAAAGUGCGUGAUUUACAACUGGGAGGAUGGGCGCUGUCCCGGAGCCCGUCCUGGGCCAGGGAGCAGGAGAGGGAGGAACUACAGUUCCCGACGCGCUGCAGGUGGGCGGAGAUCGUGCGCUUCGGCGCCAGUUGCACGGCCUUGGCAGCCAGUGGCGGCUCCCCUGCUCUUGCAGUCCCCUUGUCUUCUGACCUCUCGCUCCUCGGUCAUGUGUCCACGCCAGUCGCCGCGGCAGCCCCUGAUGCCCGAGCGGCGGGUUCCCAGGCCCAGGUGUGGGCGCCACCGCCCACCAUGCGCCAAGCCCAGAGCCUGGUUGAAUCGUUCGCCGCCCUGUCCACCCAUUUGGCCAUUAUCCUGCCACCUCCAAAUCCUGUUUUUGACACCUCUCGGGAGAGAGAGAAAACGGAAAGAUAAAGGAAUAAACUCCUCGUGGCCGUAGUUAGUGGGUAAAUUCAGAUCUCGUUUGAACGGAGGUUUUUCUUAUCUCCAGCCACCGUAUCCACCACCACCAGAAUCGUCUUUUUAGUCAUCACAGCCUGUCUCCAUCAUUACCUUGUUCAGAAGCCUCUCGCAGCUUCCAUCGUGUGGUUAUAAAAUCCAAAUUCCUUAUAAAGUCCAAAUUCAAGAGGAGGAGUGCGUGUUAAGUUAAUGUCUAGACCUUACCAGCCAAUUUCAAGCUCCUCAGUAUGGAAAUUGCAACUGAAAACACCCCUUCCAAAAAAAGCAGUCUGCAUUUUUCUCUGAGUUUUCUUCUCCAAAUUUCGCACCCCUGACAUUGCUUACACACUCUGGAUACCACCUGCUGUGGCGUGGCAGAAGCAGACAUCCAGCGAUAGCUAGGUUUCCUGUCGUUGACACCCAAGCAAGACAGGCGUGUACCUAACUGAGGACCUGCCGGUGAUAGAAGUCUCAGCUUUUCUCAGAGACAGGUGGGCAGAAAACAAGGGUAAGGUUAAAAAAGAAAAGGGAAGUGAGCAGAUCCACAGUGGAACGCAGCUAUACAGUGGAAGACAGACCAUGUGACCCAUUAGGGAAAGGGGCAGCAGCAGGUAUUAGAGAGAGACCUGUAGGGAUGAUGAUCGUCCCGGUGCUAGCGUCUGAUCCCAGACAAAUUUAUCUUCACCAUUACUUCCCUUUUAUGUACAGCUACUUAAAUGUGUGUUUUUCCAAAGUACCUUACUGGAGAAGACACCAGCUCUCACUCUCCCUCUACACCAUCCACCCGCAGCCAUGACACACUUUUAUGAUCGGGGCACUUGGAAUUCUCACUGCUGCCUCCCUGUCUGUGCACCCUUGCGAGUGUUUUCCCCUCACCUGGAACACGCUUCCUUCUAGUUCUAGGUGUAGAAAUCCUACCUGCUCUUCCAGGGUCCGUGGUUUACCUCCACAACCCCAAGGAUCUGCCACCGAAGGGGCAAAAAAGUCCCUUAGCACCGAGUAAUUUUUAGUAACAUCACAUUUUGAGUUGGAUGAUAGUGAUUUUUAUGUCUUAGAGAUGAGUCUUUAUGCUGCAAAGUGCUGCAUAGCAGAUGUUAAAUGAACGUCAGAAGGAAUCAAAUUUACUGCAAAUAAUUGAAGGCAUCCAAGAGUUCCCCAGCCUCCCUGCACCUGACAUGUGAUUAAGUUCUACCAGCCAAACAUCAGCAAAAGGGGCCUGGCCCCUAGGGCCUUCCUGUGCUUUUUGUCACUUCCUGCUGGCUGGAAGAGGGAUGAAUCCCAGGACCCUGAGCUGGUGCUUAAGCUACUGUUUCUCGGCCCCACACCUUCCCUUUUAUACUCUGCCUUGUAAUGUAGGGACUGGGGAGCCAUGUGCCACCUCUCCUGCCAGAGUCCUGUUCAGCUGUGCCAACAGAUGCACCCAAGGCAACCAGAAGAUGAGAGGUGGGAGAAGGGCCUGUGCCUCCCAUUCUGUCCUGUCUGACUCCCGGUCCUACCAGCGUCAUGCUAUCCUUGCUUUUACACCCUGGCAGUGGCAGUUCAUGAGCAAAGCAGCAUAUGAAUUCGGUCUGCAGUUUCUCUGACACACGCAGAGCCAGCCUCAUAGUGUCCCCUCGGAGAUAUCAGCAAAGUUGGCUUCCCAGCUCCACAGAACCCUGACUCCAAGAGCAGAGGCCCCAGCACCAGCCCAGAAGGUCUCUUCUUCAGAUGUCUGCGUGUGAUCUCUGGGCGGCAGCUCCUCCACAUUUCUGAGUUUUGCUCACUCCUUCCUCUUUCCUUUGUUCUCUCCAGCCCAAGUUGUCAGCUGCUUCUUGCAGUGGCUCCUUCUGUGAUAUUUUAGUGUUUUGUUUUUACCUUUUCUCUCUUAAAAUAAUUUGGGUGUAAUGUGGGUCUCCUGGCUGAACCCUGCCCCAGCCAUGUGUGGAAGAUGCUGUACUGUCCCGAGGAACUCCCUGCAGGAGAGAAGCUCACCCCACCAGCCUGUUCUUUGACCCUGGACUGUGACUCAAGCACUUUUGGAAGCCAGGUUACAAAGACUGCAUCUUUUUCUCCUGAUCCCUUCUCCUGCCCCAAGCUUGGAGGGAUCACAAACAAGCUGGUGAAUAAGGAAAAUGUUGGAACAAAGGAAAAGCCUGUCAUGCCCCAUUCCCACCCACCCACACCCAUCUUGCUAGCGUCUAAGAACGGCCACCAGCUCCAUGUGUGAGAAGCUAAGUUGAAGACAGGAAAUAAGUGACAGCACAUCACACUGGACUUUGUGUUAUCUCAGAGUGACUGGAAAGGCUAGGGUGCAUGCCCAAGACUGCAUCUUCGGUAAGAGAGAGCCCAGGGGACAAACCCCACAGACAACAAUGAUUUAAAAAGCAAGACAUGGAGGAAGUGACUUCAUGAUCAUCUUCUGCUUGGUGCUGCCCUUCCUGAGGCCACCAGGAACACACCUGUAGCCCAGCAAAGUUGAGGCCAUCGACUGGCUCAUCACAACAAGGAAGACCGUGCACCACCGGGACCCAGCAGCAGCUCAGCAGCAGCAGCGAGAGGGCCCUUGGGAAAGACUUGGAAGCUUUGUCUAUCUUAUACGAGGUGAUCUUGGGGAGCGUCAAGGAAACAGGCUGUGAUGGUUAAUACUGAGUGUCAACUUGAAUGGAUUGAAGGAUGCAAAGGAUUGUUCCUGGAUGUAUAUGUGAGAGUAUUGCCAAAGGAGAUUAACAUUUUAAUCAGUGGACUGGGAGAGGCAGACCCACCCUCAAUCUGGGUGGGCACCAUUUAAUCAGCUGCCACAGCAGCUAAAAUAAAGCAGGCAGAAGGUGGAAUGAGCAGACUUGCUGAGUCUUCCAGCCUUCAUCCUUCUCCCAUCCUGGAUGCUUCCUGCCCUCAAACAUCAGACUCCAAGUUCUUCAGCUUUUUUUUUUUUUUUGGACUCUUGGACUUACACCAUUGGUUUGCCAGAGGCUCCCAGGCCUCUAGCCGCAGACUGAAGGCUGCACUGUGAGCCUCCCUACCUUUGAAGUUUGGGACUCAGACUGGCUUCUUGGCUCCUCAGCUUGCAGUCAGCCUAUUGUGAGACUUCCCCUUGUGAUCAUGUAAGCCAAUUCCCCUAAUAAACUCCCCCCAUAUAUACAUCUA